rnacentral:rRNA from 1 species
CCUACGGGAGGCAGCAGUGGGGAAUAUUGCGCAAUGGGCGAAAGCCUGACGCAGCGACGCCGCGUGAGGGAUGAAGGUCUUCGGAUCGUAAACCUCUGUCAGCAGGGAAGAACGGUCACUGUGCUAAUCAGCAGUGACUUGACGGUACCUGCAAAGGAAGCACCGGCUAACUCCGUGCCAGCAGCCGCGGUAAUACGGUGGGUGCGAGAGUUAAUCGGAAUUACUGGGCGUAAAGCGCUCGUAGGCGGUAUGGCAAGUCAAGGGUGGAAUCCCGGCGCUCAACGUGGGAACUGCCUUUGAAACUGUCAAACUUGAGUGUGUGAGAGGUUAGUGGAAUUCCAGGUGUAGGAGUGAAAUCCGUAGAUAUCAGGAGGAACAUCAGUGGCGAAGGCGACUAUCUGGCACAUAACUGACGCUGAGGAGCGAAAGCGUGGGUAGCAAACAGGAUUAGAUACCCGUGUAGUC